rnacentral:lncRNA from 1 species
AAAAAGAAAGAAAUAAUAGAUUUUUUUUAAGUUUUGUAUUUUAUAAUUAUUAUUUAAUCAAUAAUAAAAAAUAAUGUCAUAAUGAAAAUACAACAAAAACAAGUGAUUAAAAGAAAGAAAGAAAGGAAAGAAAGAAACAGGCCCAAUGUCCCAAAACAAAAUGAAAAGAGAAGCAAGUAUGGGUGUAAAUAGCAAACUUAGCCCAAGUUCAAUAGAAAAAGUCCAAGGAGAGAGUCA